GGAAGAGGCGAGAUGGAGAGGUUAAAAGAGAGAGAGAGGGAAGGAGAAAGAGAGAGAGAUUUAUGUAGGAAGAAAAAUUACCUUUGUCGCACAGAAGGACAGUGGUAAAUGGUGCGUCAUUCUGCAGUAAUUUACAAAUCACCGAGUGGAAACAAAAUUAGAUUAACGUUGAUGUACGUUGAAAUGGACCUGCUAAACAUCACUAUUAAUUACACUGUUGUCAAGGGCGAAAAUUAUUUAUUUUCAUGGCAGAGGGGAAAACAAAGGGUUUAAAUGGGUUAACAGGCAUUUUUCACUUGAGCAACCUUGAAAAAAAAAAAAGACAAACAAAAAUACGAAAACCAGGGAAACCAUAGAUUUUCAAUUAAAGGGCCCUAAUGUCUACAUUACUACUGAAGCAAUACACUUUCUGACUUAUGGUGAACAGCAAGAACAACAAAGACACCGCAGCUUUACGACUCAUUGAAGACAUUAAUGAGCAAGAAAAUGUAGGUUUUCGUGGCUCCAAAGAUCAACCAUUUUGGAUGUUUCCCAUUAAAUUAGUAUCUUCAGAUAUCCCACCCUCACUCAAAGAAAAAAAGUCACAUCUGGUUAAAAAAAAAAAAAAAAAAACACUACAUAUAUAUAUAUCUCUCGCCUCUCUGACUUGGUGUCAUCUUCACAUUCUUUUGUUUUCUAAUUGUAAAAGCAGAAAAGAAACUCUAGGAAGCUGUCAAAGCGAUGAAGUUCUCAUGCUGACAGUGCGGUGAACUUCUUUGUGGUUGCAGAGGAGGUGAGCCGGUCCGUCCAAUUCCAGUCUGAGCGCCGCUCAUUAGGGCACGACAGCGCAGGCAGCCGGGGGGACGCGGCAGCACCCGGUCCACCCUGACUCAGGCAUCCAGCGGGGCAUCUGGCAGGGCUACACUUCAGAACGGAAGGGCCAAAAUGACAUCUCCAAUCCAGAUGCUGGGGCCAAUCAUGAUGGGAAAAUUGACAAGUGAUGCACUCCUUAAGAUCCAUCCAUCUGUCACUCCAAUUCCCUGGUCAGCAAAUCAUUUCUUUUCCAAAGACACAUGUGAAGCAGACUUCUCCUACCCACUUUAAUCAUCACUCUGUGCUCGAAAAUAACAGAGGCUGUCCCGUGGACCGCUGUGGUUUCUGGUGAUCAUAACAGAUAAUUACCCACCUCCCUGGACAGCCAUACUGCACAUGUCUCCCCGAAGCACUAGUGAUCUCCUAGUGAAUGUGCUGCACUUGUGAAAGCUCAGUGUGUGAGUAACAAGCUAGAAGUGGCAGUGGUUCAGUCCCUUAUGUCACCCAGAUAGUCUUCAGAUGGCACGCAAAGGUAAGUCAAACUUCACUCACAAAAAAAAAAAAAAAAACUUUUUUUAUCUUGAAGAGGAGGAUGAAUUAAUCAAUAAAAAGGAUGACCAGUAAAAAAUGGUCUGCUCAUAAUUCCUCACAUGUGUCAGAUCUGUAUCUGAGUGUGUGUUUUAGCAACAGGGGGCACUGUUGCUGUUCUGAAGGAGAGAGCUGGCAGCUUGCUGCAGUGAGUGAGUGACCAAAGGAAAAUCAUUGCUCAGUGACCGACGGGGAAGCUGCACUGAUCGCCAUUGAUCCUUUAGUGCUGUCCCCUAGCUUGACCACUGCCCUUGUGCCCGUGCAAGGCUAACAUAGUUUUAUCAGGCUGGACCACUGCAUUACAGCCAAUACACAAUAACCCCAGUACUGUACGGAUGCCUGUGUGUGCAAUAAGAGACCUCAGAUGCACUGAGGAUACUCUGCAUAUUCCUGGAUAUUCUACAUGCUCCUUAUCGGUUUGUAUUAGUGGGCAUGUGAGAUGACAUGCAAGG
ensembl:lncRNA